rnacentral:rRNA from 1 species
AGAGUUUGAUCAUGGCUCAGGAUGAACGCUGGCGGCGUGCCUAAUACAUGCAAGUCGAACGAGUUCUGAUUAUUGAAAGGUGCUUGCAUCUUGAUUUAAUUUUGAACGAGUGGCGGACGGGUGAGUAACACGUGGGUAACCUGCCCUUAAGUGGGGGAUAACAUUUGGAAACAGAUGCUAAUACCGCAUAAAUCCAAGAACCGCAUGGUUCUUGGCUGAAAGAUGGCGCAAGCUAUCGCUUUUGGAUGGACCCGCGGCGUAUUAGCUAGUUGGUGAGGUAACGGCUCACCAAGGCAAUGAUACGUAGCCGAACUGAGAGGUUGAUCGGCCACAUUGGGACUGAGACACGGCCCAAACUCCUACGGGAGGCAGCAGUAGGGAAUCUUCCACAAUGGACGCAAGUCUGAUGGAGCAACGCCGCGUGAGUGAAGAAGGCUUUCGGGUCGUAAAACUCUGUUGUUGGAGAAGAAUGGUCGGCAGAGUAACUGUUGUCGGCGUGACGGUAUCCAACCAGAAAGCCACGGCUAACUACGUGCCAGCAGCCGCGGUAAUACGUAGGUGGCAAGCGUUAUCCGGAUUUAUUGGGCGUAAAGCGAGCGCAGGCGGUUUUUUAAGUCUGAUGUGAAAGCCCUCGGCUUAACCGAGGAAGUGCAUCGGAAACUGGGAAACUUGAGUGCAGAAGAGGACAGUGGAACUCCAUGUGUAGCGGUGAAAUGCGUAGAUAUAUGGAAGAACACCAGUGGCGAAGGCGGCUGUCUGGUCUGUAACUGACGCUGAGGCUCGAAAGCAUGGGUAGCGAACAGGAUUAGAUACCCUGGUAGUCCAUGCCGUAAACGAUGAAUGCUAGGUGUUGGAGGGUUUCCGCCCUUCAGUGCCGCAGCUAACGCAUUAAGCAUUCCGCCUGGGGAGUACGACCGCAAGGUUGAAACUCAAAGGAAUUGACGGGGGCCCGCACAAGCGGUG